rnacentral:RNase_P_RNA from 1 species
UGGGUCGACUGGACGGUCGCGUGGCGGGCAACCGCACCGAGGAACGUCCGGGCUCCAGAGGGCAGGGCGGUGGGUAACACCCACCCGGAGUGAUCCGCGAGACAGUGCCACAGAGAGCAGACCGCCCCGCGAGGGGUAAGGGUGAAAGGGUGGUGUAAGAGACCACCGGGGGCCGUGGUGACACGGCCGCCAGGUAAACCUCGCCCGGAGCAAGGUCAGACAGAGGAUGAUGACGCGGCCCGCCGAGUCCUCGGGUAGACCGCUGGAGCGGCACGGCAACGUGUCGCCGAGAGAGAUGGCCGUCGAAGGGGCGAAGAACCCCGGAACAGAACCCGGCGUACAGGUCGGCCCAUUCG